rnacentral:tRNA from 1 species
CAGAAAGUAGUUUAAAAAAAAAUAUUAGUUUUGGGGGCUAAAGAUAGGGAAAACUCUCUUUCUGA